rfam:Salmo salar isolate Sally breed double haploid chromosome ssa14, whole genome shotgun sequence.
UGUAUUCACUACUGUAAGUCGCUCUGGAUAAGAGCGUCUGCUAAAUGACAAAUG